UUUUAGUAUGGGGUACAGAAUUAAUUAAAAGACAAGAGAGUUAAGUACUGUGAAGGAAAGAUGAAAUAUAUGAAAGUAUGUUAAAGAAAAGUAGAUUAAUAUUGUACCUUUUGUAUCAGGGUUUAUUUAUUAGUAAAGAAGUUUUUCUCUUCCCGAUACGAAGAGAGCUAAAAGUGUAAUAAAGUUAAAGUAGAAUUUUUAUUUUCCAUACAUUUUUAGUAAUGAAACGUUAGCCGGUCUUCGAAGUUUCUGGUUCUUUAAGAAAUGAAUUUAAUUCAGGAAUUAAAAGAAAAGUAUUUUAUAGUAUAUGAUUUUUCGUAAAAAUUCUAAUGCAAUGGGGGAUAAGCUUCGUUGUAUAACUAAAAUUAACUUUAGUUUCAUAAACAGUAGGCUUGAAAGUAGCCAUUUAUGGGUGUUAUAACUUAUUUAGGGUGAAUUUAAUUUUUAAAAGAUUUAGUUGGUUAUUAAAGUAUAAUUAGGAAUGAUUUUAAUUAAAAUUAAUGAUAGAAUUAAUAAAUAUAUUUGUGGAAGUUAUUUACUACGGAAGAUUUUAAUAAGGAACUCGGCAAUAUAAUACUCGCCUGUUUAUCAAAAACAUCGCUUUUUGAGUUUAUAAAAAGUCUAACCUGCCCACUGAAAUGAAUUUAAAGGGCCGCGGUAUUUUGACCGUGCAAAGGUAGCAUAAUCAUUAGUCUUUUAAUUAAAGGCUGGUAUGAAUGGUUGGACGAGGUGUUAGCUGUCUCAUUAAAAUCAAUUUUGAAUUUAACUUUUUAGUCAAAAGGCUAAAAUAGCGUUGGAGGACGAGAAGACCCUAUAGAUCUUUAUAUUUCAAAAUUUUAUUCUUUUUAGAGAAAGUUUGAAUUAAAAAUGAAAAUAUUUCGUUGGGGUGACGAGAAGAUAAUAAAACCUCUUCUUAACAAUUUACAUUAAUUUAUGGUUGUAUGAUCCAUUAGUAGUGAUUAGAAGAACAAGUUACCUUAGGGAUAACAGCGUAAUCUUUUUCAAGAGUUCUUAUCGACAAAAAGGGUUGCGACCUCGAUGUUGGAUUAAAGGUUAUUUUUAGGUGUAGAAGCUUAAAAUUUAGGUCUGUUCGACCUUUGAAUCUUUACAUGAUCUGAGUUCAGACCGGCGUAAGCCAGGUCGGUUUCUAUCCUCAAUUAAAUAAAAUAUUUUAGUACGAAAGGACCAAAUAUU
rnacentral:rRNA from 1 species